UUGCAAUAGGAUAUUCUAAAAAUAAAUUAUUAAGAGCGUAUGGUGGAUGGCUUGGAAUAAA
rnacentral:rRNA from 1 species